UAUUAACCAAUGAAAGGGCCCCAAACUUGGAACUUUUACAGAAAAGAUUGGCCUGCCGCCUGCGCAAGGAUGACACGCAAAUUCGUGAAGCGUUCCAUAUUUUU
rnacentral:snRNA from 1 species